rnacentral:rRNA from 1 species
AGCGAACGCUGGCGGCAGGCCUAACACAUGCAAGUCGAACGGACCCUUCGGGGUUAGUGGCGGACGGGUGAGUAACACGUGGGAACGUGCCUUUAGGUUCGGAAUAGCUCCUGGAAACGGGUGGUAAUGCCGAAUGUGCCCUUCGGGGGAAAGAUUUAUCGCCUUUAGAGCGGCCCGCGUCUGAUUAGCUUGUUGGUGAG